AACAAACGCUGGCGGCGUGCUUAACACAUGCAAGUCGUACGAGAAAGUCCGCUUCGGCGGAUGAGUAAAGUGGCGCACGGGUGCGUAACACGUGGGUAAUCUGCCCUUCAGCGGGGAAUAACUCGCCGAAAGGCGGGCUAAUACCGCAUAAUACCGUUCCCACCCCGGUGGGACGGUCAAAGACAGCCUCUGUUUACAAGCUGUCGCUGAAGGAUGAGCCCCGCGGCCUAUCAGCUAGUUGGUGGGGUAACGGCGUCACCAAGGCUGUGACGGGUAGCUGGUCUGAGAGGAUGGCCAGCCACACUGGAACUGAGACACGGUCCAGACUCCUACGGGAGGCAGCAGUGGGGAAUCUUGGGCAAUGGGGCAACCCUGACCCAGCGACGCCGCGUGAGUGAGGAAGGUCUUCGGAUCGUAAAGCUCUGUCGGAUGGGAAGAAUGUAUGGGAUGAACAGCUUUCAUGCUUGACGGUACCAUCAGACGGAAGCACCGGCUAACC
rnacentral:rRNA from 1 species